rnacentral:rRNA from 1 species
AAACGCUUGAAGUCAGUCGCGUCUGCCGGAACUCAGCCUUGCUUCUGCUUGGCGCACUUUCCGGCCUGACGGGCCAGCAUCGGUUUCGGGCGGUGGACACUGGCGUGGGGAAGGUGGCAGCUCCGGCUGUGUUAUAGCCCCUCGUCGCGAACGCCGCCUGGGACCGAGGAAUCCGGCGCAAGCCUGGGAUGUUGGCGUAAUGGCUUUAAACGA